ACGGAAGGUGCAAGCGUUAUCCGGAAUCACUGGGUUUAAAGGGUGCGUAGGCGGUUAGAUCAGUCAGAAGUGAAAGCUCACAGCUUAACUGUGGAAUUGCUUUUGAUACUGUUUAACUUGAAUCAGGUUGAGGUUGGCGGAAUGUGACAUGUAGCGGUGAAAUGCAUAGAUAUGUCAUAGAACACCGAUUGCGAAGGCAGCUAGCUAGACCUGCAUUGACGCUGAGGCACGAAAGCGUGGGGAGCGAACAGG
rnacentral:rRNA from 1 species